rnacentral:lncRNA from 1 species
CUACAUCAGGAUUGCAGGCCACAAGUUCACGGUGGUCGCUGCCGACGCAAACUAUGUCAGCCCCCUCACCACAGACCUCCUCGCAGUCGCGCCUGGCCAGACGUUGGAUGCCUUGGUGGUCGCCAACGCCGCCCCAGGCAGGUACUACAUGGUCGCUUCGCCCAACCAGCCUCCUAAGCCCGAUUUCCAGCACCCAACGUUCACCACGAGAGGCAUAGUUCAGUAUACCAACGAGAACCAUAGCAAUGGAGGUAGCUCAGGUCCAGGAGCCGAAGGACCUCUAUCCCGGAAUCUUCCAGUAGUGGCACCUGAGAUGCCGGAUGAACACGACACGAUGACAUCGUACUACUUCCACGGCAAACUAACCGCCCUGCAUCCCUCACGGUCCCUGCCGGUGCCGGCACGGGUCGAUGAGCACCUGCUCAUCGCGCUUGGCCUGGGCUCCGUGUGCAAGAAGCGAGGCCAGUCUUGCAAGAGGGGGGAGAGCGAGGAGACAUUGACCCUGGCAACCAUGAACAACAUCUCCUUCGAGCUUCCUGCGGCUACGGCGGCGGGACCGCUCCUAGAAGCGCACUAUUACAACACCGGAAGCUUGGACAUGCUGCGAGAGCUUCCCGACCGACCACCGAGGAUGUACAACUUCACCGACCCCUCGUUCAUACCAUCAGGACCCCGGGAGGCAAGCCUAGAGGCGACGUCGAAGGCGACGAUCGUGCGUCGGUUCCGGCAUGGCACCGUGGUGGAGGUGGUGUUCCAAAGCACGGCGAUGUGGCAGAGUGACUCCAACCCGAUGCACUUGCACGGGCACGACAUGUUCGUGCUCGCGCAAGGGCUCGGCAACUACAAUGC